GACGAACGCUGGCGGCGUGCUUAACACAUGCAAGUCGAACGAUGAAACCUAGCUUGCUAGGUCGAUUAGUGGCGAACGGGUGAGUAACACGUGACUAACCUGCCCCUUUCUCUGGGAUAACGCUCCGAAAGGAGUGCUAAUACCGGCUACUCACACCGCUGCACACGCCUUGGUGUGGCAAGUUGUUCGGAAAGGGAUGGAGUCGCGGCCUAUCAUGUUGUUGGUGAGGUAACGGCUCACCAAGGCGACGACGGGUAGCCGGCCUGAGAGGGCGACCGGCCACACCGGGACUGAGAAACGGCCCAGACUCCUACGGGAGGCAGCAGUGGGGAAUAUUGCACAAUGGGCGCAAGCCUGAUGCAGCGACGCCGCGUGAGGGAUGAAGGUCUUCGGAUUGUAAACCUCUUUCAGUAGGGACGAAGCGAAAGUGACGGUACCUAAAGAAGAAGCACCGGCUAACUACGUGCCAGCAGCCGCCGUAA
rnacentral:rRNA from 1 species